AUGCCUAUCAUCAAGGAAUCGGAAAGGUACUCAGUCGUGCUUGAGGACAGGGAUGUUGCGUCGAGGGUCGCUGACGUCGCUAGUGGCGCGGACGAGGGAGUCGGAGGCAGCGAGGACGGUGGUGUCUCGCGGAGAGAGGGAGCGAGCUCCGUGGUCAAGCCAUCGCCGAGGUUGGAGGCCACCACCAUAGUUUCAUCGUCAACGAGCUAUGUUUAUCUCUCAAGGAGAAGCGAAGAAGGUCCCGAUGUGACGGAGGAGAAGAAGGCUGCCUUGCAGGAAAGCCGUGAAUGUGCCCGCGCUUUGUCCAUAUCCUUGCGGGAGUUGGGACAAGCAAUCCAGCCCAGGAUGGAGGUAAAAUUCUCUUGA
rnacentral:rRNA from 1 species